UACGUAGGGAGCAAGCGUUGUCCGGAUUUACUGGGCGUAAAGAGCGCGCAGGCGGUCGUUCAAGUCGCGUGUGAAAGCCCCCGGCUCAACUGGGGAGGGUCACGCGAUACUGAUCGACUCGAAGGCAGGAGAGGGUAGUGGAAUUCCCGGUGUAGUGGUGAAAUGCGUAGAUAUCGGGAGGAACACCGGUGGCGAAGGCGGGUCUCUGGGAAACAACUGACGCUGAGGAACGAAAGCGUGGGUAGCAAACAGG
rnacentral:rRNA from 1 species